GACGAACGCUGGCGGCGUGCUUAACACAUGCAAGUCGAACGGAAAGGCCCUGCUUUUGUGGGGUGCUCGAGUGGCGAACGGGUGAGUAACACGUGAGUAACCUGCCCUUGACUUUGGGAUAACUUCAGGAAACUGGGGCUAAUACCGGAUAGGAGCUCCUGCUGCAUGGUGGGGGUUGGAAAGUUUCGGCGGUUGGGGAUGGACUCGCGGCUUAUCAGCUUGUUGGUGGGGUAGUGGCUUACCAAGGCUUUGACGGGUAGCCGGCCUGAGAGGGUGACCGGCCACCUUGGGACUGAGAGACGGCCCAGACUCCUACGGGAGGCAGCAGUGGGGAAUAUUGCACAAUGGGCGGAAGCCUGAUGCAGCAACGCCGCGUGCGGGAUGACGGCCUUCGGGUUGUAAACCGCUUUCGCCUGUGACGAAGCGUGAGUGACGGUAAUGGGUAAAGAAGCACCGGCUAACUACGUG
rnacentral:rRNA from 1 species